GUGGGGAAUCUUAGACAAUGGGCGCAAGCCUGAUCUAGCCAUGCCGCGUGAGUGAUGAAGGCCCUAGGGUUGUAAAGCUCUUUCAGCUGGGAAGAUAAUGACGGUACCAGCAGAAGAAGCCCCGGCUAACUCCGUGCCAGCAGCCGCGGUAAUACGGAGGGGGCUAGCGUUGUUCGGAAUUACUGGGCGUAAAGCGCGCGUAGGCGGACUGAAAAGUUGGGGGUGAAAUCCCGGGGCUCAACCUCGGAACUGCCUUCAAAACUAUCAGUCUGGAGUUCGAGAGAGGUGAGUGGAAUUCCGAGUGUAGAGGUGAAAUUCGUAGAUAUUCGGAGGAACACCAGUGGCGAAGGCGGCUGACUGGUCCAUUACUGACGCUGAGGUGCGAAAGCGUGGGGAGCAAACAGGAUUAGAAACCCCUGUAGUCC
rnacentral:rRNA from 1 species